CCUACGGGGGGCUGCAGUGGGGAAUCUUGCACAAUGGGCGAAAGCCUGAUGCAGCAACGCCGCGUGAGCGAUGAAGGCCUUUGGGUCGUAAAGCUCUGUCCUAGGGGAAGAAUAAAUGACGGUACCCUUGGAGGAAGCCCCGGCUAACUACGUGCCAGCAGCCGCGGUAAUACGUAGGGGGCGAGCGUUAUCCGGAAUUAUUGGGCGUAAAGAGUGCGUAGGUGGUUUUGUAAGCGCGGGGUGAAAGGCAAUGGCUCAACCAUUGUAAGCCCUGC
rnacentral:rRNA from 1 species